UCUGACUCUACUCCCUCUUCGGAUCUCCUUCCUCACCGGCGACCAUGGCUGCCCUGCUGCCGCAGACCCACCGCGAUCGAGCUCUCGUCUUCGUUCAAUGCGUUUGCGCCAAGGCCGCCGCCGCCGCCGCCGGAGACCUCUCCAUCGUGAGCCACCUGAGAUCCUAUCUCUCAUCGUCUUCCCAACUCACCUCUCUCCGCCACUGCGUUCAAGUAUUGAGCGUGGUUCACAGGCACUAACUAGGAGAAAGUUGUUAUGCUGGCAAACGGAAGCAUAAAUUUGUUGAUAAGUUGAUAACAAAGGAACCUAUCCUUCAGCUAUCUAAAAACAUUAUCAGGACACGUCAACAAUACGCUUGUAGCAAAGGUGAGCAAGUUGUCAGCCCGGCUGCCAGAGGCUCAAAAUCGUUGGGAACAAAAGCUAAAAAAAGUCAUUUUAACUACAGAGCAUAAUCAAGCCACGUGGAAGUCGUGCUUCUGGUAAAGCAUAUUCUGCUACAAGCGACAGUGCGAAAGGAUACUUCUUUUUUGGAUUAAAAAAUGUCAAAAGUUGUUCUUUGUAGGACCUUGUGCUUAUGUGUAUACUCCAAACAUGCUUGCACCGCAUUGUUUGGCAGGCAAGUGCAGUAAACUGUCGAGUUCUGAAACAAUCAGGGUAGCUG